CCAACGGUUUUGAACAUGGAGCAGCAGGUUCUCCGAAAGUUGGAAUGCGGCAUAAACGUGGAAGCGCUUGCUAAUACGUACGGGAUCGCUAAAAGUACGGCGAACCGAAUAAGGCGCAUUGGCAUGAAUAGCUUGGACACCUGUGUAGACGUGCAUAAAAACAAAUAAUAUAUUGUGAAUAAUGGUGUAAAUAACAAAAUUUAUGAUUGGUUUUUGCAGACGAGACUUUUAGGAGUUCCCAUUUUUGACAAAAUCCUGCAGGCCAAAAAGAUAGGGACCAGAUCAGGCGUACCGUUUCACACAAGUCGCGGAUGGUUGUGGAGGUUUAAGCUGCGUUAUAACAUCCGCGCAGUGACGGCGUGGGGAAAAGGUUGGUUUUCAAGAGACCCUCGGGUCAAGGAGACCCGAAGAGAGACCCGAAUACCUGAUAAAAGAAAAUCCAAUAAAGAUACAGGAUGCAUUAA